UCUUGUACAAAGAAACUUUGUCUUGAUUGAUACUCUGCCAUCAAUUUUUUACUGUCUACAGUACCUGUACUCUGAAACUGUCUUGAUUGAUACAGUACUCUGCCAACAAACUUUGUCUGGAGUAUUUUGAGCUUUUCCUUUUCAAACUUUUACUCCAGGAGGCGAUCUGGACCAAGUGGGGAGGCUAUCUGCAGCAGUACCUAGGGCUGCAUGGGAGGGCGCGGCGAUCUGGACCUGGGGCUGCCGAUCUGAAGCAGUACCCCCUCCGGCGAGCAGUACCUCGAUCUGAAGCAGUACUCUCUGGAGCUGGCGAGGCCUUGGGAGGGGGACAACGAUCUGCAGCAGCACCCCCUCCUACGAGGCGAGUUGGUGAGGCCCCCUCUAGCGACAGGGGG
rnacentral:rRNA from 1 species